rnacentral:rRNA from 1 species
AUUUCGCACGGAUGUGGACUUAGGCAGGGGGAUCCCCUAUCCCCCCUCCUUUUUGUCUUGGCCAUUGACCCGCUCCAUCACAUCUUAGCUAAGGCGACUGAGCAAGGCAAACUACGCCCCCUCCGGGGUAACCCCACGCGGGCUUCUCUGUAUGCCGAUGAUGCGGCCAUCUUUGUUGCUCCUAUCAAAGAAGAUAUCCAGUUCUUGGCAUCCACGCUCGGCUCUUUUGGUGAAGUUACCGGGUUGGUCACCAAUUAUAACAAAAGUCAUGUGGCUCCCAUCCGUUGUGCCAACAUCGAUUUGGAUGGGAUUCUUCAGGCCUUCCCGGCGGUCCGGGCCACCUUUCCCAUGAGAUACCUUGGCCUACCGCUUACGGUUGCAAGACUAAAGCGCAUCCACUUCCAAUAUCUAGAAGAUAAGGUGGCUGCCAAGCUCCCGCCCUGGUCGGCCAUACAUGUGGCUACCCCGGGGCGCAUCGUCCUGGUCAAGGCUCUCCUUACGGCGAUUGCGAUAUAUCACCUCACCCCGUUGGACCUACCUGUAGAAGUGAGGAAAAAGAUUGAUAGUCUCAGACGUGCCUAUCUCUGGGCAGGAUGUGAUAAGGUGACGGGAGGCAAGUGCAAGGUGAACUGGGAUCUAGUUUGCAAGCCCAAAGUUCAU